GACGAACGCUGGCGGCGUGCUUAACACAUGCAAGUCGAACGGUGAAGCUCCAGCUUGCUGGAGUGGAUCAGUGGCGAACGGGUGAGUAACACGUGAGCAACCUGCCCCUGACUCUGGAAUAAGCGCUGGAAACGGCGUCUAAUACUGGAUACGAGAAGGGCCCGCAUGGGCACUUUCUGGAAAGUUUUUCGGUUGGGGAUGGGCUCGCGGCCUAUCAGCUUGUUGGUGAGGUAAUGGCUCACCAAGGCGACGACGGGUAGCCGGCCUGAGAGGGCGACCGGCCACACUGGGACUGAGACACGGCCCAGACUCCUACGGGAGGCAGCAGUGGGGAAUAUUGCACAAUGGGCGAAAGCCUGAUGCAGCGACGCCGCGUGAGGGAUGACGGCCUUCGGGUUGUAAACCUCUUUCAGCAGGGAAGAAGCGAAAGUGACGGUACCUGCAGAAGAAGCACCGGCUAACUACGU
rnacentral:rRNA from 1 species